rnacentral:rRNA from 1 species
CCCCUAGACGUUCUGGGCUGCACGCGCGCUACAAUAAUACGCACAGCGAGUAUCACCGAGCUCCAAAGGGCAAGGUAAACAAUAGAAAAGGUACUGUAAUGGUUAUAGAUCCUUGUAAUUAUUGAUCUUCAACGAGGAAUUCCUAGUAAGUAUGUGUCAUCAUCACGCACUGAUUACGUCCCUGCCCUUUGUACACACCGCCCGUCGCUCCUACCGAUUGGGUGAGCCGAUGAAACUCUCGGAUGUAGGCUAUUCAUAGCCCGCAGAAGAGAUUUGAAUCGUAGCGCUUAGAGGAAGGAGAAGUCGUAACA